UUAGUGGCGGACUGGUGAGUAACGCGUAAGGAACCUGCCUUUUAGAGGGGAAUAACAAUGAGAAAUCAUUGCUAAUACCGCAUAUGCCAUAGUUAUCACAUGAUAAUAGUGGGAAAGGAGCAAUUCGCUAAAAGAUGGCCUUGCGUCUGAUUAGAUAGUUGGUAAGGUAACGGCUUACCAAGUCGACGAUCAGUAGCCGGACUGAGAGGUUGAACGGCCACAUUGGGACUGAGAUACGGCCCAGACUCCUACGGGAGGCAGCAGUCGGGAAUAUUGCGCAAUGGAGGAAACUCUGACGCAGUGACGCCGCGUAUAGGAAGAAGGUUUUCGGAUUGUAAACUAUUGUCGUUAGGGAAGAGAAAGGACAGUACCUAAGGAGGAAGCUCCGGCUAACUACGUGCCAGCAGCCGCGGUAAUACGUAGGGAGCGAGCGUUAUCCGGAAUUAUUGGGUGUAAAGGGUGCGUAGACGGGAAAACAAGUUAGUUGUGAAAUCCCUCGGCUUAACUGAGGAACUGCAACUAAAACUAUUUUUCUUGAGUGCAGGAGAGGUAAGUGGAAUUCCUAGUGUAGCGGUGAAAUGCGUAGAUAUUAGGAGGAACACCAGUGGCGAAGGCGACUUACUGGACUGUAACUGACGUUGAGGCACGAAAGUGUGGGGAGCAAACAGGAUUAGAUACCCUGGUAGUCCACGCCGUAAACGAUG
rnacentral:rRNA from 1 species